GAUGAACGCUAGCUACAGGCUUAACACAUGCAAGUCGAGGGGUAACGAGAGGAAAGCUUGCUUUCCUUGUCGACGACCGGCGCACGGGUGAGUAACGCGUAUCCAACCUGCCCCCAACUAGGGAAUAACCUUGCGAAAGUAAGACUAAUACCCUAUAAUUUCCUCAGAUGUCAUCUGACGAGGAAUAAAGAUUCAUCGGUUGUGGAUGGGGAUGCGUCUGAUUAGCUUGUUGGCGGGGUAACGGCCCACCAAGGCAACGAUCAGUAGGGGUUUUGAGAGGAAGGUCCCCCACAUUGGAACUGAGACACGGUCCAAACUCCGAGGGGAGGCAGCAGUGAGGAAUAUUGGUCAAUGGGCGGAAGCCUGAACCAGCCAAGUAGCGUGCAGGAUGACGGCCCUAUGGGUUGUAAACUGCCUUUAUACAGGAAUAAAGUUAGCCACGUGUGGUUAUUUGUAGGUACUGUAUGAAUAAGGACCGGCUAAUUCCGUGCCAGCAGCCGCCGUAA
rnacentral:rRNA from 1 species